rnacentral:lncRNA from 1 species
UUUUGACAAACAUUUUUACACUUCCUUGUAGCCUUUAGAUUUUAUAACAUUCAACAGUUUAGAUUAAGAGUGAUGUGGAGAGUUUUAAAAUUAAAUGACUUGGAUGAUGAUGUGGAUUAUAACUAAUAAACAAAACACUAAUCUAAAUUAAAAAUUAAUAUGAAAUAAAAUAAAAUUGAAAAAAUCAAUAAUCAAACAUUGAACCUAGCGUAAAAAAUUAACAAAAUAAGAAAAACAAAAACAUGAAAAUAUUGUAACCUCCAUCUCCCUCCCUGCAAUGCCUUGGAUGAAUUCUCCUCUUUCAUUUUAUAAAAAAAUGAACCCUAAUAAAUAAUAAAAAAGGAAUGAUUUAAAAAAAAUAGGUGAUAUGAGGGAUAAGAUUAAUACCUAGGGGAAACGAAACUGCUAUAAUAAAAAAAUUAUUGAAAGCGCAGACCAAUGAAAUCAAGUUUUUUGCUUGAUUCAAAAAACUAAAAAAAGUAGAAAAAUCAUCAAUGACCUAAAUCGACAAAACUAAAAAGAUUUUGCAAAUACCUAAUUUAAUUACCCUACAUAUAUGAACAAUAAUAUACAAUUUAGGGUUUUGUAUGUUUUGCUUACGUAAUGAAAAUUCAAGAAACUAAUAGCUUGACUCAUUGUAGAAGGCAUCAAAAUUUCACAUCAAUCCUAUGAAAAAGUUGCAUACCUAUUUAGGCCCAAAAUAUUGGUGUGGGCCGAGUAGGGAGUUGUUCUCGGCCCGGCAGUAUAAUUCUAGAACCAUCGCAAAUUCCAGUUGUUAUGGGCCACUUGGUUAAGAUCGGCCGAACCCUAGUCUAAGACGGAUUGAUGAGGUAGGUCGAAUCCUAGUAUAAUAAGGAGUCUCAAUAGGAUGAGGAUGUUGGGAUUUGAGAAGUAAAUGUGGCCAGAUAAAGAGUUUGGUUCAAAGUCCUAAUGGAGGUAGGAUAUGUCGGGUCUUUGUGAGAUUAGGAUACAGAAUCCUAAUCCGAGUAUAGUUCUGUUUCGGCCAUGACGAGAGUGGUUGCUAUAAAUAAGAAGGGGAUGCAUCAUUCAAGCUUUCUCCAAUUCAACACACAAACUGCCCUGCACAAACUUUCGCUCUACGCGAAAACCUCUCAACAACCUUGGGAUUUUUUUUUUUUCGCCGACACAUCUUCAGUUUGGAUAAACAACACUGUGAAGGCAACCGACGAACAUCUUCAGUUUGGAUAAACAGCA